rnacentral:rRNA from 1 species
UACAGAGGUCUCAAGCGUUGUUCGGAUUCAUUGGGCGUAAAGGGUGCGUAGGCGGCGCGGUAAGUCGGGUGUGAAAUCUCGGAGCUUAACUCCGAAACUGCAUUCGAUACUGCCGUGCUUGAGGACUGGAGAGGAGACUGGAAUUUACGGUGUAGCAGUGAAAUGCGUAGAUAUCGUAAGGAAGACCAGCGGCGAAGGCGAGUUCCUGGACAGUUACUGACGCUGAGGCACGAAAGCGUGGGGAGCAAACAGG